CUACGGGUGGCAGCAGUGAGGAAUAUUGCACAAUGGGGGAAACCCUGAUGCAGCAACGCCGCGUGGAGGAUGACGCAUUUCGGUGUGUAAACUCCUUUUAUGAGUCAAGAAAAUGACGGUAGCUCAUGAAUAAGCACCGGCUAACUCCGUGCCAGCAGCCGCGGUAAUACGGAGGGUGCAAGCGUUACUCGGAAUCACUGGGCGUAAAGGACGCGUAGGCGGGAUGUCAAGUCAGGUGUGAAAUCCUAUGGCUCAACCAUAGAACUGCACUUGAAACUGGCAACCUAGAGUAUGGGAGGGGGAGAUGGAAUUAGUGGUGUAGGGGUAAAAUCCGUAGAUAUCACUAGGAAUACCGAAAGCGAAGGCGAUCUCCUGGAACAUUACUGACGCUAAGGCGUGAAAGCGUGGGGAGCAAACAGGAUUAGAUACCCGAGUAGUC
rnacentral:rRNA from 1 species